UGCAGGGCACUGCACAAAAAACCAUAAAACGUCUUACGAGUCUACUUUAAGAGAUUCCAUCCAUAAGCAAUGAUAACACUGAGUAAAUAGAUACCCCUGGCUGAACAUCAUCAUCUUCCCACUCGCAGUUUAACGAAUAUGCCGUUCGCUCAAAGCGAAGCCUCUGACGGUUCCCGCCUUCAAUUUCGAAGUCUUCCUCAGAUUCUGGAAUAUGUUGAGAGGAAAUAACUUCAUUAAGAGCUAUGCCUGUGUGACGCAUGCUAUUAGUGCAAAGGAAAAAGAAAGCGUUGCAACAUAUUUAGUAGUUGACACACUGAUACUUAUAUUGCGCAUGCUUAUUUAAUACGCUUUCUUAUUUGUAUUAGGCACAUCAAGAUUUUCAGUAGUCCAGCUGCAUCAGUAUGCUCAAUCUGCACAUAAACCUCGAACAGCCGGAAAAAAUACAACUGCACUGCCAACAGAUGCACCCGUAUCUGACGAUGAUGCACCUGCUAACAGCACAGCAGCUGCACCAAGCCAAGCAGCAGGUAGAGCCCCAUUCUCGACAGAAAGAAGCGGACACAUCGGGUAGUGAUGAUGAACAGGAGGCUAGAAACAACGUUUGGAGUGCAACGGCCAGCAGCACGACGACAGCUCAUGCUGCAGCAUGCCAGCUCGAUGACUUCCCAUGACGCAUCACUGAAUGAUGAACAGAUCUGUUCAUGUCUGACGACGACGCUUCACAGCAACAUGUUCCUGGAGAACUGACUUCAGACAAGAAGAUUGUAGGUCCAUCAGAACUUACAAGAACUACACAAACAUGUUUGAGGUCAAUACGACCUUGCCGAUAUUCUGGUAGCUGAAGCUAACAAAGAAAAAUUUCGUCACUACAUUAACAUUCAUUUCUUACUUUAAAAAAACUUCGUCUGCGUCGCUUCUUGUAUGCCUUCUUUGCUUUUUUUUAUCUGAGAAUUUUAGAGUUUGUGUAAACUUGACACUUCGCUGUAUUAUUAUUAACGAUGCGCUUUAUGUUCUGUAUAAUUGUUUGCUCUUUAUACUGUGUAAAAUUUUUAAAGCUUCCCUUACCCAAUGCCCAUUCUUCGGACCUGUAAGGUAUCUUAAAUAGAUACAUACAUAAGUAAAUAACUGUUGGUUAGCCACUCACCAGGUUUGGGCAUCGCAAAUGGUUCAGUGUAUGUAACAUACCGAUCUCUGCUAGAAAUUACACUAAUGUCUGUUGUAAAAGAAUGUUGGUUCAAUAUUGCUUCAAUUGAAAUUUCAUUAGUGUUUUUCGGAAGCACUAAGAAAUGCAAUCACAAUUAUACAAAAGCAAAAUAAUUUUCUGAUGCGCAUUACAUCUCUUAUCAUUUGCUUUAGGAUGAAUGGACUGCUUAAUCACAGGAGUAUGGUCUCGGGUUGCUGCUUAUAGAGUUGAAUGUCAGGCUAUUUUUAGUUUUCAAUUUCAGUACUGUAAUUUGCUCAGCGAGUUGCUUCAUAUUAGUUGGUAAAAGUGUUCAAGCAGCUUCUGCACGUUUGAUGACCGCUUAUACAAUUUUUUUUUCAUUUUUGAUAGGUUCUUUGCAAAAAUAUUCUGGUGUGCUUUCGUUGAGGGGGAUGUCCACAUACACUGAUAAAGUCAGGGGGGCAUAAUUCUUGUAAGGGGGAAAGAUGGCUUGAAACAUUAACAUAAUUUUAUUUACCUGUAUUUCUGCAUUGGAAGACUUCUUCAAAAAUGUAAAUGAGCUAGCUUUCUCAACAACAUAUUACACUUGCCUAUGUAUAAUACAUCUGAUGGAGCCUAGGUGAGCCGUUUUUUAAAGCUGAAAAUUAAACAUGAAGACUGGUGUCAUUUAGAACGAAGUUUAUGGUGCUAAGUUUAUUGCUGCAUGCGUGUGAAUUUUUUCAGUAAGGGUUGCAAUCAGGUUGUCCAUGCAGUAGGUUAGAAAAUGUUUUAGUUGAAAUUGCCUGCUUCUUGUUCAGGGAAGGCAUCUAACACAACAGCUCCUUUUGGGGUCCAGUGCCUUUUAUAGAGCUCAACAGUACAUGUACACAGGUGUGCACACGCUCAAUUUGGUUUGGUUAUUUCUUUUCUACUUUCAGCAGUAAAUGCCUGACUGCUCCUUGAGGCCUGCUCGUUGUGACAGGUCAUAUUCCGGGGAAUUAUUUUAUGUUGUUGUCACUGAAAGCGCUGUUCUGUCUAAAGGUGAUAUUCUCGUCAUGGUGCUGAGGCACGUUGUAAAAAAUAAUUUAUCAUUUACAGGGCUGACCAACAUCUUAGACCUUAUCAACAGAAAUUUUGAAUGUGCAAUAUUGCCGCAUUCUCGGUACCAGCUCUCCAAACUGUUGAGCAAAACGGGCAAAACAAUAUCAUAUUCUUGUUUUUGCCCUAAAUGCGUCACACAUAUAGAAAAUUUUGAAACAAAUUCUUCUUUUCGGUGCACACAGUGCGGACACAAAACCAGUGUUUCCAGUCUAUCAGAUUUGCCUUCUUUGUGACUCUCGAUGUGGAGUCACAGUUGCAAAGAUUGUUAAAAGACUGCACACUUUUUGACCUGACAAAGCCACUUCACCAUGAUAGUUCACUUGGUGAUAUAUGGGAUGGUGAAAUGUAGCGAAGAUUAUCAGCUGCAACACCAUAGUGUUGGCCCCAGAAUCAUCAUCGCAUUAAACGCUGAUGAGACGCCACUUUUCAAGUCACGUGGCACGGCCAUUUCACAGGCCCAUUCAGUUGAUGGUGAAUGAAGUUACUACUAAGCAGAGGAUGUGCAAACGGGUUCUUGCAGCCUUGUGGUUCUGGAAGGAGAAGCUAGGCAUGGAGCUUCUUCAAAGCGUAUUUCUCAAGCAAGUAAGCCAGUUAAGUGAAAAUGGCUUCGUAUUGGAGCGACAGGGGCAACUUCAGACAUUCAAAGCUUAUUGCAUUUUUUGUACAGUUGAUUCUGUUGCCAUGGCGCCCGUGCAAGGUGUUACUCAAUUCAAUGAUUAUUUUGGGUGUAAUUGGUGCCUGAAGGAGCUGGUGAAUCAGCGAAAAACCAAGCAGAGUCAGUUAAUUCCACUGAGAGAACAAAAGGCUAGGUGCUUGCAGACAUGCAAGCAGCCAUUGCGGAAGGGGGGACCGUUCAUGGUGUGUAAACAUUGUCUCCGUUGAUCCCAUGCACUUAGGUAAUCGCUUUAAGAAAUAUUCACUCUUUGCGGAGGUGGACGUUACGUGGCGCCAAUUUUUGAGGCCCAAUGUUGACGUUCAGCACGCAGAUGACAGUGCUACACUGCGGCCUGCAGGGAGCGGCGAAACAUUGACGUCGCGGUAAACGCAAGACGCGUUCAUGUGUUUUUCGUCUAUGCAACUGCCGGCGCUUAGAGUUGCAUGCCGUGCCGUUGUAGAUACGACCUAGGUGACACGGUGACACUGUAUAGCUUGUGUAGUCUCAGCUUCUUUUUCGUUUCAAUUAUUACUUCGUGAAUAAGAUAGCCACGGUUGACCUAGUCGUUUAUUUGAACAUUGUGUGCCCCGGAAUGUAGACAUGAUGUGCAUAUAAACGUUUUGCUCUUACGUCUCAUAUUUUAAUUGUGCUGUUUAAGGUAUAUAGCUGUUCCGCAUCUAUUGUUCUUAGUUUUUCUUUUUCUCGUGCUAAAUGAUAUUGUACUUAGUUCUCAAAACGUCUGCAUUCUGUUUUAUCAGGACUUGUACAUUAAGAACUUGUUUCACUUUGUUCUGCAUAGAAAAAGGAAUAAACUCUGUGCAAUCAAAUGAACA